rnacentral:misc_RNA from 1 species
AAGGUCAUUAUUUAAUUUGUUCUUUACAUUCACCUUUUGCAUCUUUUGUAUGCAGAUACGAUCUGUGAUUCUUGUUCUGAUGCCUAAUUAUAUAUCAUCAUAUCUAGCCCAAUUCCUGCUUUGAAGAGACGCAAAAGGCAAUUGGGUGUCAAUUAAUUUUGCAGUUAGGGAAAUCUCUUGAUAGAUAGAAGGAAAUGACCAUCGACUUCUUGGUCUAAACCGGAACUGCUUUACUUGCAUAUUUUAUUAUUUUUG